GGAUAAUCGGGAGAAAUUCCGUCUAAUACGGCAUAAUGCAUCGACGGGACAUCCUGUUGGUGCCAAAGGUUGAUUCCGGUGGCGGAUGGGCAUGCGUCGCAUUAGUUAGUUGGCGGUGUAACGGACCACCAAGACGACGAUGCGUAGGGGUUCUGAGAGGAAGGUCCCCCACACUGGUACUGAGACACGGACCAGACUCCUACGGGAGGCAGCAGUGAGGAAUAUUGGUCAAUGGGCGGGAGCCUGAACCAGCCAAGUCGCGUGAGGGAUGACGGCCCUAUGGGUUGUAAACCUCUUUUGCCGGGGAGCAAAGUGCCGCACGUGUGCGGUUUGGAGAGUACCCGGAGAAAAAGCAUCGGCUAACUCCGUGCCAGCAGCCGCGGUAAUACGGAGGAUGCGAGCGUUAUCCGGAUUUAUUGGGUUUAAAGGGUGCGUAGGCGGACGCUUAAGUCAGCGGUAAAAUUGCGGGGCUCAACCUCGUCGAGCCGUUGAAACUGGGUGCCUUGAGUGGGCGAGAAGUACGCGGAAUGCGUGGUGUAGCGGUGAAAUGCAUAGAUAUCACGCAGAACUCCGAUUGCGAAGGCAGCGUACCGGCGCCCAACUGACGCUGAAGCACGAAGGCGUGGGUAUCGAACAGGAUUAGAUACCCUGGUAGUCCACGCAGUAAACGAUGAAUGCUAGUUGUCCGGGGCGAUUGAGUUCUGGGU
rnacentral:rRNA from 1 species